rnacentral:rRNA from 1 species
GACGAACGCUGGCGGCGUGCUUAACACAUGCAAGUCGAACGGAAAGGCCCUGCUUUUGUGGGGUGCUCGAGUGGCGAACGGGUGAGUGACACGUGAGUAACCUGCCCUUGACUUUGGGAUAACUUCAGGAAACUGGGGCUAAUACCGGAUAGGAGCCCCUGCUGCAUGGUGGGGGUUGGAAAGUUUCGGCGGUUGGGGAUGGACUCGCGGCUUAUCAGCUUGUUGGUGGGGUAGUGGCUUACCAAGGCUUUGACGGGUAGCCGGCCUGAGAGGGUGACCGGCCACAUUGGGACUGAGAUACGGCCCAGACGCCAACGGGAGGCAGCAGUGGGGAAUAUGGCACAAUGGGCGGAAGCCUGAUGCAGCAACGCCGCGUGCGGGAUGACGGCCUGCGGGUUGUAAACCGCUUUCGCCUGUGACGAAGCGUGAGUGACGGUAAUGAGUAAAGAAGCACCGGCUAACUACGUG